CCUUAUUUGAUGAUGUGGCAGAAUUUGGGCCGUUGGAUCCUUUCCAAACGGGUGCUGACGUGGCAUGAUGCGUGCCAUUUGAUUUAAGCGUGGUGAGGAUCAAGGGAGAAUCGUCCGAUCUCGUGGAAUAAAUCGAGCCAUCCGAUCCUUUGAUUAAAUCUCAGCCGUUCGUUUGCUGUUGCACUCGGACGUAUCUUGAGCCGUCGGAUGUAGCGAAUAAAUCCUAGCCGUUCACUCUAAAUGAAGACACCCGAUCUUCUUCUUCUUCCUCGAGAAACCCCUGCGCAAUUCCCUGGAUUUGUAAUCGCCAUGGCUAGACCUUAAGACAAGGUGCUGUAAGUCCGACAAAGAGGACCACUCGAUCUCCCACCUUUACAUACAUCAAUGAGGCCAAUCGUUGAGAUUCCUCUUGGACUGCGAGUUAGUAUAUUCAGACGAGCAAGGGGACGGGUUCCAAUAGCCAAUAUUUGGCUUCGAAAUGGUAAGUAAGAGUCAUUUAGUAUUUAGUAGAAAACAUGUUACCUUUUCCCGUUCCUUCAUGGCUCGAUAUUGAGCCAAAGUAGCUUUAGGUCCCUCCAACUUUUCCUCCGCCAUUUUGAGUUCAUUCCACAGAGAGGACAGUCAGUUGAAGACUAUGAAGAUUGAUAGAUAUCCUUGUUUGAGUUCGGUUAGGGCUUGAGUUAGUGAGAAGAUCUUUGCCCUAUCAAGUUUCCCAUAUAUUUCUCGCAAAUUUUCCCAUAUCCCCUUUGCGUCUUCGAUUGGAGGAAGUCCUGUAGCAAACUCCGGUGUGAGGCAAUUCUCAAUCUAGGUCCGCAUGAGCUGAUUGCACUUCCUCCAUUGUUGUGCUAAUCGGUCGUUAGUCAGGAUUGAGACGGUCUCGUCAAUAAAACCCUCUUUGUCUUUGGUAAUCAAUGUUUGUCGAAGCUCGCGGAACUAGACAGAAUAGUUCUCUAGUUCGAAGAGUUGCUGUGUGAUGAGUCGAAGUUUGGGCUCGUCAGUGGCAAAUGUGUGCAAAGGAUGGUCGGGUUUUGGCCGGCCACCAGCGACACCUGCAAAAGGAAAAACACCAGGUCCAUAGGUCAAGUAGGAUUUCCACCCAUACUUGAUGGACCUGAUCCGUC
rnacentral:lncRNA from 1 species